rnacentral:rRNA from 1 species
CGUAAGGACAUGUGGAGCGCUUAGAAGUGAGAAUGCCGGUGUGAGUAGCGAAAGACGGGUGAGAAUCCCGUCCACCGAUUGACUAAGGUUUCCAGAGGAAGGCUCGUCCGCUCUGGGUUAGUCGGGUCCUAAGCUGAGGCCGACAGGCGUAGGCGAUGGAUAACAGGUUGAUAUUCCUGUACCACCUAUAAUCGUUUUAAUCGAUGGGGGGACGCAGUAGGAUAGGCGAAGCGUGCGAUUGGAUUGCACGUCUAAGCAGUAAGGCUGAGUAUUAGGCAAAUCCGGUACUCGUUAAGGCUGAGCUGUGAUGGGGAGAAGACAUUGUGUCUUCGAGUCGUUGAUUUCACACUGCCGAGAAAAGCCUCUAGAUAGAAAAUAGGUGCCCGUACCGCAAACCGACACAGGUAGUCAAGAUGAGAAUUCUAAGGUGAGCGAGCGAACUCUCGUUAAGGAACUCGGCAAAAUGACCCCGUAACUUCGGGAGAAGGGGUGCUCUUUAGGGUUAACGCCCAGAAGAGCCGCAGUGAAUAGGCCCAAGCGACUGUUUAUCAAAAACACAGGUCUCUGCUAAACCGUAAGGUGAUGUAUAGGGGCUGACGCCUGCCCGGUGCUGGAAGGUUAAGAGGAGUGGUUAGCUUCUGCGAAGCUACGAAUCGAAGCCCCAGUAAACGGCGGCCGUAACUAUAACGGUCCUAAGGUAGCGAAAUUCCUUGUCGGGUAAGUUCCGACCCGCACGAAAGGCGUAACGAUUUGGGCACUGUCUCAACGAGAGACUCGGUGAAAUCAUAGUACCUGUGAAGAUGCAGGUUACCCGCGACAGGACGGAAAGACCCCGUGGAGCUUUACUGUAGCCUGAUAUUGAAAUUCGGCACAGCUUGUACAGGAUAGGUAGGAGCCUUUGAAACGUGAGCGCUAGCUUACGUGGAGGCGCUGGUGGGAUACUACCCUAGCUGUGUUGGCUUUCUAACCCGCACCACUUAUCGUGGUGGGAGACAGUGUCAGGCGGGCAGUUUGACUGGGGCGGUCGCCUCCUAAAAGG